rnacentral:rRNA from 1 species
UUGCUCUUCAACGAGGAAUUCCUAGUAAGCGCAAGUCAUCAGCUUGCGUUGAUUACGUCCCUGCCCUUUGUACACACCGCCCGUCGCUACUACCGAUUGAAUGGUUAUAGUGAGCAUAUGGGAUCAGUAGGAUUAAACUGGCAACAGUUUUUCCCUGCAGAGAACUAUGGCAAACUAGGCUAUUUAGAGGAAGUAAAAGUCGUAACAAGGUUUCCGUAGGUGAACCUGCGGAAGGAUCAUUAAAUAAUUUAGAUGGCCUUUGCUAGUUUUCUAGCGAAUGGUUCAUUCUUUUUUACUGUGAACUGUUUUAAUUUUUCAGCGUCUGAGGAAUGUCUUUUAGCCAUAGGGAUAGGCUACUAGAAUGUUAACCGAGCUGAAAGUCAGGCUUAGGCCUGGUAUCCUAUUAAUUAUUUACCAAAAGAAUUCAGUAUUAUAAUUGUAACAUAAGCGUAAAAAACUUAUAAAACAACUUUUAACAACGGAUCUCUUGGUUCUCGCAUCGAUGAAGAACGUAGCAAAGUGCGAUAACUAGUGUGAAUUGCAUAUUCAGUGAAUCAUCGAGUCUUUGAACGCAACUUGCGCUCAAUGGUAUUCCAUUGAGCACGCCUGUUUCAGUAUCAAAAACACCCCACAUUCAUAAUUUUGUUGUGAAUGGAAUUGAGAGUUUCGGCUUUAUUGCUGAAUUCUUUAAAAUUAUUAGGCCUGAACUAUUGUUCUUUCUGCCUGAACAUUUUUUUAAUAUAAAGGAAUGCUCUAGUAAAAAGACUAUCUCUGGGGCCUCCCAAAUAAAUCAUUCUUAAAUUUGAUCUGAAAUCAGGCGGGAUUACCCGCUGAACUUAAGCAUAUCAAUAAGCGGAGGA